rnacentral:rRNA from 1 species
GACGAACGCUGGCGGCGUGCUUAACACAUGCAAGUCGAACGAUGAAGCACCAGCUUGCUGGUGUGGAUUAGUGGCGAACGGGUGAGUAACACGUGAGUAACCUGCCCCUCACUCUGGGAUAAGCCUGGGAAACUGGGUCUAAUACUGGAUACGACCGAUCUCCGCAUGGAAUGUUGGUGGAAAGUUUUUGUGGUGGGGGAUGGACUCGCGGCCUAUCAGCUUGUUGGUGGGGUAAUGGCCUACCAAGGCGACGACGGGUACCCGGCCUGGGGGGGCACCCGCCAACACGGGACUGAGACACGGCCCAGACUCCUACGGGAGGCAGCAGUGGGGAAUAUUGCACAAUGGGCGAAAGCCUGAUGCAGCGACGCCGCGUGAGGGAUGACGGCCUUCGGGUUGUAAACCUCUUUCACCAGGGACGAAGCUAACGUGACGGUACCUGGAGAAGAAGCACCGGCUAACUACGUG